UACAGAGGUCUCAAGCGUUGUUCGGAUUCAUUGGGCGUAAAGGGUGCGUAGGUGGCGGCCGUAAGUCAGGUGUGAAAUCUCGGGGCUCAACCCCGAAACGUGCACUUGACUACUGCGGUGCUCGAGUACUGGAGAGGAGAUUGGAAUUUACGGUGUAGCAGUGAAAUUGCGGUAGAUAUCGAUAAGGAAGACCAGUGGCGAAG
rnacentral:rRNA from 1 species